rnacentral:rRNA from 1 species
GCCUGAACGCUGGCGGCGUGGCUAAGACAUGCAAGUCGUACGGUGUAGCAAUACACAGUGGCGGACGGGUGAGUAAUGAAUCGCUAAUGUACCCCGAUGUCUGGGAUAGCCAGUCGAAAGAUUGGGUAAUACCAGAUGAGACCACGGCAGGGCAUCCUGCAGUGCUCAAAGGGUCACCGCAUUGGGAGCAGGCGAUUUCGUAUCAGCUAGUUGGUGAGGUAACGGCUCACCAAGGCGACGACGCGUAGCCGGGCUGAGAGGUCGGCCGGCCACAUUGGGACUGAGACACUGCCCAGACUCCUACGGGGGGCUGCAGUAACGAAUCUUCCGCAAUGCACGAAAGUGUGACGGAGCGACGCCGCGUGUAGGAUGAAGUCCUUCGGGAUGUAAACUACUGUCAGGGGAAAGAAAGUUCUGAUCUACCCCAGAGGAAGAGGCGGCUAACUCUGUGCCAGCAGCCGCGGUAAGACAGAGGCCUCGAGCGUUAGGCGGAAUCACUGGGCUUAAAGCGUGUGUAGGCGGAGAUGUAAGUACCUUGUGAAAUCCCACGGCUUAACCGUGGAACUGCUUGGUAUACUGCUUCUCUUGAGCAAUCCAGGGGCGAGUGGAACAGAUGGUGGAGCGGUGAAAUGCGUAGAUAUCAUCUGGAACGCCGGUGGUGAAGACGACUCGCUGGGGAUUUGCUGACGCUGAGACACGAAAGCCAGGGGAGCGAACGGG